CACUGCUCGCAUUAUUACAACUCAAGUUGAGCCACGGACGUCCACAUUAAUUGAAUUCCUGAUUUACUGCCUCAAACCGAUGCAGAGAUGUUUUACUAGAUGAAACUGCUGUAAGCCGGCGUCGAAACUCGAAAGAGAUAAACAGAUGCUUAAAUAGGGCAAUAUUUACCCUGUGAAUGAAGAGAUUCCUGGGAAUUGGCUUUCUUUUCACUCCAUCCGGAAGCGGUACUGGCUGAUGGUUUCAGGGUGGCAGCUACUACACCGGGGACGUCGAGCGAGCCGGACGGUACAGCAGAGCGGUCUGCUGGUGCAGAAACAGCUAUUGGUACAGGAGAGAUGUAAGAUUCAGCAAUCAGACCAGAGAAGUCUAAUCCUUCGGGCGCCCGGAGAAUAGCCAAAGACAAGUAAAUGUCAAAGGCAGCACUGUACGAGGAAUUCGAAAAAUCAGAUACUAAAUGUCAAAGGCCUCCAUCCAACAGGCUUCACCAUUUCGGCGUGGAAAGUUGAAUAAUUGACCAAUCCGUAAGCAGCCAAAAAGAAAUUGGAGAUGAGAGGAGCAAUUGCAUUCAGCUCGGCGAUAAUGAUGCAGCCCAAAGCGAUUAUAAAUGUCAAGAUGUAGCCAUUAACUGGCUCGUUGUUUUUGCCGUAUCCACGACCAAAAGGACCCAAAUAAGGAUAGAGCUUAUCCUUACACAAAGCCUGGAACACUUUGGGUGCAGAGACGAGACUGGCCAGAGCAGAGCUGAGGGUAGCCGCAAAACAACCGGCGUAAAUCAAAGGACCGAAAGCCGAAACCAGUUCAAUAACCUGUUUUCAUUUCAAUCGUUAUAGAUUUUCAUUCAUUUUUUUAAAAUGCAUAUCUUAAAUAGUGUCGUAAUGAAGACCUUACCUGGAAACUGUUUUGGAGUCCCCAUUCGCAACCCUCGGUACAGUUGGUAAGCGUGCCGUUGUAGAGGUCUUCAAUGUUGCCGGUGGCCUGUCUCAUAACCGUCGCGCCGCAAAUAAUGGCGAAACCGACGUAAGUCACACUUGUAAUAGCGAUGGCCAACAUUGUUCCUUUAGGAAUAGCGUGUUGAGGAUCCUAAUGUUAAGACAAAAUUGAGCGACCGGAAUUUUUGAUGGAUGAGUAUUGUAAAUCGACUUUAAGAUCGCCAGAAAUGUUGGCUCCAGCUAAGAUGCCUGUCGCGGCCGGAAAGAAGACGGAGAAGACAGUAAAGAAACUAUGUUCUUUGCCUUCGCUGUAUUGGUAGUCGGGUGAAAAAUUUUCCACAAAUAACUCACCUUUCAAAGUUAAAAAAUUCAUUUAUUUACGUAAAAUGUAUUUAACUAAUGGAACUUACUGCUGUAACCAACAAAUCCUUUAGCCUUUUCCUCGUCGUCCAUUGGGCCCAUAAUACUACCGAUGACGAACGCUAUUUGAGCGAUAAUCAAGAUGGCCAACAGAACAAUUUGUGCCUGAACCAAAAAGAACAAGUUAAGAUAUUUUUUAAAAAACAAUCUGUUUUACAAUAUGCUAGUGGUUACCUUAGUUUCCCAUUCGAGACCGAUGACGACGAUUCCGGUCAAUAAGAUGAUGGUGAUUGUGCCAAUAAUACGGACGUCGUUGACACCGUUGUCGAUGAUUUUGAGAUCAAAGGUCUUUAGCAAAUCGUUAAGCGACUCACAAAAGCCGAUGGUGUACAUGGCUACCGCUACUGCAUUUGCCACGGCGAAAAUGACGCCGAUGGAAGCGCCAAAGUCCGGGCCAAGCGAGCGAGAUAUCAUGUAGUAAGUACCGCCGCCUUUGAUGUUGCCGUUGGUGCUGAUGGCACUCAUUGAUAGGCCAGUUAUGGUAGUGACGAUGCAUGCUAGCGCGAUAAUAAUGACACCUUCACCUGUGUUUGCCAAAGUGAUUAUUUACUCUAGAGGGAUAUUCAUGACCUGAAAAUGGUUAACUUACCUAUUCCGGCUUGUCCUACGACCCAAGAAAGGCGAAGGAAAAGCAUUACGCCCCAAAUCGUCAUCGGAAAACUCACCAUCGCACCAAGACUCCUUUGAUCCAACCAAAUUUGACGAAAGUGUCUGGGACAACCUCGGUUGCUUUCUCUCCUUGAGGCUAUUUGCCAACGAGAUUGAAUUACAAAAAGGAAGCAAAACAAACGGUUGCUAAACUAGUACAAGCAAAUAAAGGGCGUGCGUAAAUAAGAUGCCGCAAUUGGAGUGACCCCUGCAUCACGGUUCCUCUUCUGCGUUCAACGGAACGCCCGUGAAAGGGGAAAUGAUUCAUCAGAGAGGUAUGAAAAUCUGAUACUUAUUACUCCUAUAAAAGGUAUCGCAACUUGUUAUUACGUCGUAGCAAAUUGCGCUAUUGUGGUAAAAAUCGUGCUGACGGAAAACGAACUGUUGAUUUUUUUCUACUGAUAUCCUAUUUCCAUUUUUAAUGGACAGUGGCGAAAACUAGGAACCUGGCACACCCUCAAAACAACUGUCUGGUUCAUAAUUAGACGUGCCGACGUUUGAUGGCCAGACAAUAGGGAGAUGUUUCACACAUCAGUAUUUUCCUCAUCGAUUACGUGUUUCCAAUAAGUCAACAACUACGAGUGUUAUGAGAGUUCGAUCAAUGCUGGAUCGUGUCGAUUGAUGGGCAAAGACGAGUGAUGGGACAGUGGGUAAUUUAAAUUGAAUGCGCUUCCUCCGAAUACGCAAUUUUUAUACGAACGUCGUCUUUUCACACGAGUGUUUAAGUAACGCCAUUUCAUUCUGCGGACUUUGGCUGCAAAAAAAAAAAGGGGGGGCUCCCGCUUUCCUUUGAAUUAUGAUGAAAGAAAAUGGGAAUUCUUUUUGUUUUAAAGAUGGAAAUUGGAGAUCGCAAACAUUUUCUCUAGUGUGAAAUGAAAAAAAACUUUGGUUCGGGAAGCUCGGGUAGUCAUUACGCGUAAUAUCAAGUGACGACGACUUUUCUAAGAAAUUUAAGCUAGAUUCAUUUUACGACAUAAAACCUUGUAGGGAUGGGUGUGUUUCUUUUAGGUCAGCCUAGCGCAAUCUAUUCCUCUUUUUUUCCAUACCAGGUCAUAAGACUUGUGGGAAGGGCUGUUUUUUUUGUCAAGUUCAACAGCCGUUACAGCAAUAAUGGCAAUAGAGGAGGGAGAAAAACUCGGCGUUCUACAUGUUUCUAGACAACUCCCUUGGCUAAUUUUCUUACAGUACGUUGUCGACAAGUUUACUUUAAAUUUUGUUUUAUUUUGGCUUUACAAGUUCGCGUGUGGUCGUUGCUCUCUAUUUGGGGAAUAGUCACUGUCUGACGGAUUACUUGCAGUCGUGGCUUUUUUUUUUUCUUUUCACGGAAAACCAAUAAAGGCUCAAUGACCGCAAACUAUGCAGGAUUGCACGACUUCAUUAUUCAAAUUGUUCCGGUAUGCUAGUUAUGUGACAUCGUGUUUAAAAAAUGAAGUAAACAAAAUUACCUUUUCGUGAAUAGUUGCAUUGUGAAGUUCGUCCAGGGUCGGUCUAUGCCCGGCUUGAAUUGAAAGGAUAUUGCGGUAGUUGUCGAGCCGAGGCAACGCUUCACGGGUCAGUUGGUAGCGCAAGCUCUUGGUAGCGGCGUUUGUCCGUUGACCACUUUCGUUCAUCGUCAUGUAAGUACCUUCCGACAAAAGAGCGGUCGGAGAGGACGCCCGUUCCCCGUCAUUAGAAGCGGCCGAACCAGGACGUUCGCCCAUUUCAAUCGCCUCCGAGCUAUUGCCCUUCUGUAAAUAAUCGUUCAACCAGACCACACACGCAUUAGAUUCUACUUCAAUAUUUCAUGAUAAAAAGAGAACGUAUACGUAUGAAAGAAAAAACAAAAAAUGGUGGUUAGCAUAGGUGUUGCGUACUUCCGUUUCGUCGCCAUCUUCUUCGGAAUUUCCGCCUCCUGAGUCGACUCGGUUCACUUUGAAACGGUUGCGUUUGGAUAAUGCGUCAGUCAUGAUCUAAGAACCUGAAUAUACAUACAAGCAAACAACAACAAAAUAUACACAAUUCGAUAAUCAAUAUUUGCUGUAGGUACUAUCCCCGUGGAGACAGCGUGCACUUUCAUUUAACAUUUUACGAUGCAAUUUAUAGUUGCAAUGGAAUCGACAGAAAUGUCGAAUGAUAUUGCUCGUAUCAUCACAAAAUGAUAAAGAGUCAUGGCAAAGAGAACAAAUAUCCAACUUCAUUUAAAUUUUAAGAAUAAAAGACAAAAUGUCUGUUGUCUUUGUAAAAAGAGAAGAAUGACUGGCAAAGUUUGAACAACGCUCGAUCACCUCAAUCGCUUAAACUGAAUCAACACUGUUAAAUGCAACUGCUGCUUUCACUUUCAUAGUAAUUCAAAUUAAUCCUAGACAACUAAUCGCCGUAAAAUAUCUAAUGUUUCUGAAUAAUUGUUAUUUGAAAUUUACCAGCAGGGAUGGCAGAAAUCGAUUAGUUGAAAGUGUUUCAACAGAAGUACGAGAAAGACACGUGGGGCACUUGAAGGUAACGGCACAGCUACAAAUGGUGAGACCGGUAGCCGGUUAACGAAGAGGAACAGACACAAGCAUGCAGACCGACCGGCAGGCGAAGACUACAGACUGACGAAGCUCAAAGUGACAGAGCAUUGGCUGUUUAUAAAGCGAAAGGCCCCUCCAGCUCCAGCACUCUCUCACACUCGACGGAAACACCAGAUAGGAUGGUGCCAGCCCCCUCUUGCUUCUUUCCAAAAAGAUCCGGGGGCUUCUAUUUAGCCACCCUUUUGUGUAUCCAAAAAGAGGAGAGUAGGUCUCAGUUUUUUUUUUUUUUUUUGCUUUGUAAAGAAGUGAGGUGGUCGUGGGGUGGCUAAAUUCCUUUUUUUUUUGUGCUGGAGGCUGUCGAAUUUUUUAACAUAAAAACCAUUCUGAAAACAAGUAAACAACAGGCCAAUUUAAGCUAUGCUGCGAUGAAGAAAGCCACUGCCAAUCAUCUUGUCGAGAGAAUGAAAACGUUUGAUGUGCAACAAGAACAACUCGGGACAAUAAGCAGGCAUCAAUAAAAACGAGGAAAAGUCAAAACUGUGCUAAGCAAAAAUUAAAAUCUAAAUUCAUUCGACCUCUUUUAAUCCUGUUCAAAUAUGGAUGAAUCAUCCCUAUCUUGGCUGUCACAUUUCAGAAAGUUGGCGUUUCAUCACGGCAUAAGGAGCAGUAGGUACAUCUUUUUAUCCCGUGGGAUAGGCAAGAACGUGGUGCAAAUGUUUUCCUUCUCAUGUAGAGACUCCACGUUUGAAACUCGACUGUCUAUAAUUAGAAUUUCAUUUGAAAAAAACAAAAAAACUAUACUUUCCUAGACAUUAUAGAAUCAGACAUCUUUCAAAGCAGCCGCCCGGAAAACCUGAGAGUCACCUAGCGAACCAUUCUUGUACUUCAUUGACAAUAAACAAAAGAAAAGCGCCUAUUCUUAGUAGUAUGACAGAUCACGAAAUCAACCAUCUUAUGGAAUCGAAAACCAUCUAGAUGUUUCUUUUUUAGACUCCAUUGUUUAACGUGUUUCCCAGUGUAUUUUCCAGUCCAAGGUUACAUCGAACCCAGGGACGCAGAUCCCUUUAGUUGAUUGAUGAGAUUAACAGUUUUCCAUGGUACGUAUCCAACGAGUAGUAUAACGAAACAAGUUACAGUGCACGUUUCACACGCGAUCAAUUAUUGUUUCCGUAUCUUUCUCAUCAAUGGAAGUUAUACGGAAUACGUUUCCAAAAGGAAAGUGCGGGCGGUUUAUGUAUUUGUUUGGUUACCAUGGCUACUCUAUUUUGGUUUAGGAAAGACGAGAAUAGCACGUUUACCCUUUGCAUGUUCGUCGCCAUCAAUGAUGUCACCAGUCAAGUAUUGGGUGGGGGGAUACCUUCUCUAAUUUCGGCCUUAUGAUCGAGUUGUCACGUCAUGUGAUGAUUAUGCUUCAUCGUUGAAAGAUAUCGUUUUAUAUGGCGGCUCAUAAUUGAACGAAAAAUCGUAAAAUUUGCGGGAAAAAAAUUAUUUCUAAAUGUAAUGGGUGUAGUAAAUGUAGCGUGUUUAUUGACCAUUGAGACCCGGGAAUGAAUUAGAAUGUUUCAAACCCUAACGCUUGUUCGUAUCCUAAUAACCUUUUCGAGGUUGAAGGAACUGUUUUAUGAUAGCAUUCAAAGUGCAUGCUGUCCCGUUACCUUUAAUCUUCUUUUCCUAGUGCUUUACUUAAUUCUGUGGUCUAAUCGAGAAAGCAAUCGUCUGCCUCAUAAAAUGGAACCCAACAAUUUGUAUUUAGUUUUAAAACGUCAGGCAUUUUAAAUUGCUAAGCAAUCAGACACAUUCGUUAAUAUGUUUGGCUUACUCCAUGUACGGUGAAGAAGACUCUUUAUCCCCACAUUGGAACGCUGGUAAGUGGUAAAGAAUCUGACGGGUAAUCGGUAGUUUGAAAACAUUUCGAAUGCAUAUUGGGGUUCAUCUUGCGUACGUCGUACCUAGACGAAACUCACUCGCAAAAAUCAACAUUGGAAAUAGAACCAGGUAAUAAAAUGGAUGAAAUAUAGGUAGCCGCAAUUACUUAAUAGUCAUGAUGAUGGGCAGAUAGUUCCAAACUCUAAUUAAGUUUCGUUCAUUGUCUGACCUGCGUCCUGCUUACAUUUAUACUAAUCGAAACAGAAGUUUAAAGAAGGAGCGGUUAGAAAGCAUCUUACCUGAUGAAUUCUUAGAAGUCUUAUGUAGGACUAAUUGAACGAAAUAUGCAGAUGUGAAGAACUGAAUUUUUCCACGAAAAGGAACCCCUGUUUUUUUCCUGGCUGUGUAAUUUCAACUGUGGUUUUCCUGCACGUGACGUUGAUCAAUUGUGGUAGGCAGCUGAAACCAUACACUUUAAUAAUUAACUUGCGUAAACGUAUUUGCUGAUCAUGUAUUUGUUUCACCCGGGUAAGCACUACCGCACAUUUUUCGUCGACCUAUGGCUAUGGGUUGUCAUUUCAUUGGAAAAACCCCACCCCAGAAGCUUUAAUUGGUUGGUUAAAUGCAAACGUCGGUUACGACACGACAUACGCGACUCUCAGCACGACACAGAAAUGCAUGUUUUGUAAAUCAGUCAAACAGUCACCUUCACGACGUCAUGCACGUCACAUGUUUUUCCGAAAAUCACCACUAGACAUGAGUAGUGACCUUAAGCUAUCGGAAGUUUUAUUUCAAUCGAACUGCCAACGCCAUCUAAAGAAGGGAUACGUAGCUAAAGGUAAGGAAGAAAAGGUUUUGAAAGAGAAAAAAGCCUCUGAACGUAGCGAUUCGCUCGAUCGUGGGUGCAUAAGCCAGCCAGAGAGCUAUAGAAAACUGAAAAUUAAUUUGUGUGCUAGGCAUUGCUGUUGGCAGAAUUCAUUAGAGUUAUUGUACGUGAAUCAAUUACAAAACGAAAAGAGUGACAAACAUCAUACGUUCUGUUGUAAAACGUACGUGUUAAAGAUUGGGAAUCGACUUCAGGAAGGUUGCUGAUUGCAAGUGUUAUCGUUUCGAGAAUGAUUUUUGAAAACUUUUUUGAAGAAUUUCUAGUUAGGAAUUCUGUCUAGAUCACAACCGACGUAACUAUUACGAUUUUUCCUCUAAUUCUCGAUAGGGAUUCAAUCGGUAAAGCCGUCGGAAACCAAAGACUUUGCGAGUUAGGGAGUAGAAAUCAAUGGAAGCUCGAUUGUAAAUUUAUUCGCCAUCUAGCAGCCACGAUCUAAACCUUUAGGAAAACGCAUCUACUCGAGGACUUCAAUUACUUUCGGCGAAAAAAAAAAAAUAAUAAAUAAAUGGCCCUCCCCGAGGUAUUAAAAAUUUUGGGGUUCUGUCGAAUAAAUAUUUUCGAAAUGAACAUUUCGAAUAAAAGUCUAGAAUCAACGGAUUUUUUAUUCGUUUCUUAAUCGUCAAAUAAAUUGGUCUGUUCUAUUCAUUAUUCUUGUCUUUUUAGACCUUUAAUUUUAUUCUUAUUCAAGAAUAAAUUUUCGAAUAAAUUUUGAUUAAAAAAUUCAAAUAAAUCAUUAUUUUUGUCUUUUUCUAAAUUAAUUAAUUAAUUCAAUUUAGUUCUUUUUUUUUCAGUUGGGAAAUUUUUUAUUCGAAAUUUAUUCUUUAUCCGUUAUUGAUUCGAAAAUCACGAAUCGAAGGCUUUUUUAUUCGUGAUUCUUGAUUCUUAUUUGUUUGGGUUUAGAUUUUAUUCGCAAACGAAAUGCAAUUUUUCGUUAUUCGACAGUAGCCUACACUGGUCAUUUGGCGUUCCGUAAAGCCUCGCUUACACUAGAGGGUUUUUUAAGCUUUUAAGCUUUUAGUUUUAAGAAGUUAAGGUAUUAUUAUAAGAUAUUUUCUAUGUAAUGCUAUUUAUUAUAAGGUAUUAUUUACGUAUAUUAUAUUAUUAAAAGAUUAAGGAACUAAAAGCUUAAGAAAAACCUCUAGUGUAAGCGAGGCUUAAGAAAUUAAAGUUACUAUCGAGUAUCGAAUUCAAAUUUUCCUCUGAAAUUUUUUAUCAUUUUUAUCUUUUCCAAUAGACAAGCAGACAAAUUAGUGACAGUAGAUUUAUCGAAGGUUUCGAGACGUGUUAAGCGGGGAGCCAAUAAAUGUUCAGUGCGUUCCUUAAAAAACCCUUUUGGUUGCUCGUUAGUGUUAGUACAGAAGUACACUGAGAUUUGCAAUUUGCAAUUUUCGUACCAACAUGAUGGACACUCUUUUUCACGAAACACACGAUUGUUUGAAGGUUGAUUUUACUAGACGUCAUUUGAAUGUUCUUAUCCGCAGCCCUACAGUGUGUAAAAAUAGACAGUGGGAAAAAUCUGCUCAUCAUGCUGAUUGGCACAAUGCUGGCUUCAUGACUACACAGUGUUAAAAGACUCUUCCCUUAAGUAAAUUUGCAGCUGUGGACUUUCUUUAGAUGACUCUUGUAUCAUAAAUAUUUUCCUGCUUCUUGGAACGUGGAACAUAGGAUGUCUUGAUGCCAACCAAGUGUCAUUAAGAGUGUAAAAAGAUGUUUCAGGUUUUUGAAAAAUCAGUGAUAAUGUUUAAAAAAUUACUUUUUUAGUAUUCUUAAAUCAUGCUUAAAUUAGCAGAAAAAACCUAAAGCUGGAGGAUGAUACAUUUGUUUCUUGUUACUAGUUUUGUAAACAAAGGCUAAAUUGGUAAAAUGAAACAACACAUGACCUAUGGCUUUAGAUCUAUUGUUUUCACAAAUGGAAAUUGAUUCCAAAUCUUUAUCUACCCGGUCAGACACCCACCCAAAAACCAUGGGGUGAUAGAUGAUAUAAAAAAUGUAUUAAUUCAAAAAUUUAUAUUUUAAGUUAUUGUUUGCAGAGUCAGGGAAAAAAUGUGUGGAAUCUGAAAUUCUAGCCCUCAAAACCCCAGCUGCCAUUCUGCUUCAACAAGGCUAUAAAGCAAUUAUUAUUUAAAGUGGUAGAGACUGUCAGCAAAAACAAAGCACAGACAUUUUUGUAGUUGGCUUUUCUGCUUAAUGUUAUUGUUAAACUUAACUUUUGGAAACAUAGAAGUGUAAUCAAAUGUUCAGGAUCAAAUUGAUGAAAUGGUUGAGCCAAAAAUGAACUUUAUAUUACUUUUGAACAGAUCUUAACUCAGUGUACGCGGCUGAUGCCCCACUAAACGUCACAUCAAUCUUUACCUGCGGUCUUCCAGUGUUGGUAAUUUGUUAUGGCAUGCAAUUAUUCAACAAGGAGUUAGGUGGAACGGAGGAGUGUAAAGAUGUUUGCGAAGAUGGGCAAUUCGAUAUCCAAGUACAAACGGAGUGCCCAUUGUUUAAAGGCUUAGAGACCCGGCAAAUGGUAUUGCUGACCAAUGUUGACAGCUUUGACAAGGUUGCAGAAGGAUUAUCUUGCGUCUCAAAAUCUUCGCGUCAUUAUUUCCGCCAUUGCUGAUACUGAACACCAUCUUGACGGAGUCCAUCAGUUCCCUCCUGAAGUUGAUUUGACUAAAAAUGGUAUGUUGGUUUCCUUUCCAUUGAUUGCAAACAUUGAUCUUAGCAGUAUAUCGAUUACGUCCGGCGUACGGUCGGAUGUAAUAAGAUCGUGCUCAUGCUGGUAAUCGCGUAGUCGAUUCCUUCGUUUGUGCUGCCCAUCUCCAUAAAGCACUUCUACAGGGUGCGACGGGUGGCCUGCACUCGCGCUGUUCCAGGAAUUUCCAGGGUUUUGUAUGACCAGAUGGCGAAAUCACUCGUGACAACGGAGUGGGAAGGAUUUGAUUUACGAACGUUACUUAGGCAAAUCAUAUCCGCACUCUUUAUAAGACAGGACAAAGAUACGGAGUUGUAUCAUUGACCAGAUUUAGAUAGGAAAUAUUAUGAAUAUUGGAUUCAGUAAUAGAUUAUGAAAUUGAAAAAAUCGAUCAACUUUGCCGUCUCGUUAAAGAGUAGUUCACGUGAUGACUUAUUGACUAUUCCUUAAAUAUACAUGCACACUUGUUGGAAAUAAUGGUUUCAGUUGUUUUUCGUCGAACAAAUUAAACGUUGUUAAUGUGCAGCUAGUUGGGCUGUUGUUGCUCUCCCUUGUAAAUCUAACCUUUUUCGCCCAAUUGUUAAUCAAAUUUUUUUGGAACGUUGUGAUGUCACCCAAAAACAAGCGGAAGGCCAUUCGAGGCGUUAUGCCAUUAUCUGAAAUUGAACAUUCAGAAAAUGUGGUAAAUGUUUGCCAAUUGUUAAGAUUUAUUCAGAGUGGUACUAUAAAGUAUGACUGUAGGAAAGGGUACGUUAGGCUUCUAAAAGUGAAGAACAGUUCUGACAUCUUUGGUAAGCGGAAAAGGUACUGCAAAUGGAAGCGUCACAUGACGAUUUUAAGGAUGGACCCUUUCGUUUGCAUUGCCCAAUGAAUCUGUGCUUGGAACUGGCAGCUGGCGUUUAACAGCUUGGCACCUAAUCUUUGUUCUUAAAAGCCAGAGGUGUUCUUCACGUUUCAGGAGGAUACUUAUUGAUGAUUUUUUUAGAUUGAUGAUACUUAUUGGUUAAACCAUGAAGAAUACCAAUAGAUGGAUAAAAUGAGGGUUAUAAUAUAAAACAAAUUGCUCAUGGCAUUUUCAUUCACGCAUGCGCGACAAUUUGUGAGCAGACGAACUAUUGAAAGAGACUUGCGCAGUCUAACUGCAUCCAGCCAGAUACUAGUAAAACCCGAAACAUUGUUUUGACAAGUUCUGACAUAUUGUGGUUGCAGGUUUUCACUAAAUAACAAGCGGAAAAACUAGAUGGCAUUGAGCGUCAAUGAUAAAUAUUACGAUUGACAAGUUAAAGGGUCUACUCUGUUUAGUGUUUUAAACGAUUUUUCGUCAAAAAUUAAGUGGGUUUCACCUUGUCAGCUGGACUGUCAGCUGAACCAGUAGCCUGCAUUCCUGCUAUCAAUGUACCACAAGGGAUGCUGACACUUUAAGAAGACAAACAGUAACCACUAUGCCCGAGACAUGAACAUCGCCAUUCUAUUCAGAGUCUUCAUCUACUAUGUGUUGCAAACUAUCAGCCCUUAGCAUCCCAUGUUUCCAGAUUUUAAAGCUUCUCUGCUUAGCCAACCAUCCUCCAUACUGAAGUGUAUGGAGCUCUUCAUUGUGGCUCCUCUUCCUCUCUUCUUAGCGUGAUGAAUGCCAACAGGCAUAAUGGUUCAUCUCCGUUGCCUUACCAUAAAAUGGAAAAUAUCAUUGUUACUCCUGCUGCCAAAUCGUCUUCCCGUACGAGUCAUGCAGUUUUAGAUUCCUCAUGGAAUUUCCUUGCUGAAAAGGGCAUCCUACCAGUUGUGUGGACCAAACCUGCCUCGCCGUCUUCGCCUCGCCGUCUUCGCCUCGCCAUCCUCGCCUCGCCAUCCUCGCCUCGCCGUCUUCGCCUCGCCAUCCUCGCCUCGCCGUCUUCGCCACGCCAUCCUCGCCACGCCAUCCUCGCCCCGCCAUCCUCGCCACGCCAUCCUCGCCACGCCAUCCUCGCCACGCCAUCCUCGCCACGCCAUCCUCGACACGCCAUCCUCGCCUUACCGUCUUUGCUCGCGCCCGGCUUCUCCUCAUCGCCGUCAUCGUGGAACGUCGCGUUUUUGGUAUUUUGUUUUGUUGGUAUUUUGUUUUGUUUUGUAUUGUUGUAUUUUUUGUUUAAAGUUAACCCGUUGGCUGCCACCCAUUUUGCUCCCCUUUUUUUUUUAGUUGUAGGGACCGGCGGCGCUGUUCUGCCCCAUGGUUGAUCACCCAUGGGGUGGGGCAGUCGCCUUGCGCCUUAGGGCGCCGUAGGCAAUGCACCAGUAGGGACUUCCCCUUGUCGAUGCGAUGGUGGAGUACCUGGGGUGUGCAUUCCCGUAAAGGUCUCCAUCGUCAAGUCAGCCCGGACUUGUCUUUGGACAAGUCCCCCUUUCAUCGGAUCCCUCUGAAACGAUGCGUAGCAACUGUAGAACAACCUAUGGGUUGUAAUGGCUUGGCAGCCAACGGGUUAACUUAAGCGUUUGUUUUUGUAUGCAUGUAUGUACUGUAUUUAUUGUAUAACAUGUGAUGUAUGUAUUGAAUAACAUGUGAUGUAAAACUGUGGUGGAAUUGUGGGUGGAGGUGGGAUAAUACAAAACCAAUUCCAUUUA